UACGUAGGGCGCAAGCGUUGUCCGGAAUUAUUGGGCGUAAAGAGCUCGUAGGCGGCUUGUCACGUCGAUUGUGAAAGCCCGAGGCUUAACCUCGGGUCUGCAGUCGAUACGGGCUAGCUAGAGUGUGGUAGGGGAGAUCGGAAUUCCUGGUGUAGCGGUGAAAUGCGCAGAUAUCAAGAGGAACACCAGUGGCGAAGGCGAGUCCCUGGACAACACCUGACACUGAGGCACGAAAGCUAGGGGAGCAAACAGG
rnacentral:rRNA from 1 species